rnacentral:pre_miRNA from 7 species
ACGGGGUGGCCACUAUCCCUGUCCUCCAGGAGCUCACGUAUGCCUGCCUGUGAGCGCCUCGGCGACAGAGCCGGUGUCCACCCCUGCACUGUCCAC